rnacentral:rRNA from 1 species
AGAGUUUGAUCCUGGCUCAGACGAAGCUGGCGGCGUGCCUAACACAUGCAAGUCGAAUGGGGAUUUUGUUUCGGCAGAAUCCUAGUGGCGAACGGGUGAGUAACGCGUAGGCACCUGCCCUCCGGCCGGGGACAACAUUCCGAAAGGGGUGCUAAUACCGGAUACGAAGUCUGUGCCGCAUGGUACGGAUUUGAAAGAUGGCCUCUAUUUAUAAGUUAUCGCCGGGGGAUGGGCCUGCGUCCGAUUAGCUGGUUGGUGGGGUAACCGCCCACCAAGGCUUCGAUCAGUAGCCGGACUGAGAGGUUGAUCGGCCACAGUGGGACUGAGAUACGGCCUAGACUCGUACGGGAGGCAGCAGUGGGGAAUAUGGGGCAAUGGGGGAAACGCUGACCCAGCAACGCCGCGUGAGGGAAGAAGGUCGUCGGAUUGUAAACCUCUGUUACCAGGGAAGAAGAAAGUGACCGGUACCUGGAGAAAAAGCCGCGGCUAACUACGUGCCAGCAGCCGCGGUAAUACGUAGGUGGCAAGCGUUGUCCGGAUGUACUGGGUGUAAAGGGCGUGUACGCCGGAAGACAGGUCAGAUGUGAAAUGUCGGGGCUCAACGCGCGAACUGCAUGUUGAAACCGGUGUUCUUGAGUAUCGGAGAGGCAGGCCGAAUGCUGAGUGUAGCCGUGAAAUGCGUAGAUAUUAGGAGGAACACYAGUGGCGARRGCGGCCUGCUGGACGACAACUGACGCUGASAGCGCGAARGCGUGRGRAGCMAACAGGAUUAGAUACSCUGRUAGUCYACGCCGUAAACGAUGAAUACUAGGUGUGRGGRGGUCUGACYCSCUSCGUGCCGGAGUUAACACAAUAAGCAUUCCGCCUAGAGAGUACGGCCGCAAGGUUGAAACUCAAAGGAAUUGACGAGAGCCCGCACAAGCAGCGGAGCAUGUGGUUUAAUUCGACGCAACGCGAAGAACCUUACCAGGUCUUGACAUCCAGUUAAAGCCAUAGAGAUAUGGUGUGUGCUUGCACAAACUGAGACAGGUGGUGCAUGGUUGUCGUCAGCUCGUGUCGUGAGAUGUUGGGUUAAGUCCCGCAACGAGCGCAACCCUUAUUUUCAGUUACUAACGCGUAGAGGCGAGGACUCUGAAGAGACUGCCGGGGACAACUCGGAGGAAGGUGGGGACGACGUCAAAUCAUCAUGCCCCUUAUGACCUGGGCUACACACGUGCUACAAUGGCCACCACAGAGAGGGGCGAACCCGCAAGGGGGAGCGGAUCUCAAAAAAGUGGUCCCAGUUCGGAUUGUGGGCUGCAACCCGCCCACAUGAAGUCGGAGUUGCUAGUAAUCGCGGAUCAGCAUGCCGCGGUGAAUACGUUCCCGGGCCUUGUACACACCGCCCGUCACACCAUGGGAGUUGGGAGUGCCCAAAGUCGGUGAGGUAACCGCAAGGAGCCAGCCGCCUAAGGCAAGACCAAUGACUGGGGUGAAGUCGUAACAAGGUAACCGUA